UGGGGAAUAUUGCACAAUGGGCGCAAGCCUGAUGCAGCCAUGCCGCGUGUAUGAAGAAGGCCUUCGGGUUGUAAAGUACUUUCAGCGGGGAGGAAGUUGUUGUGGUUAAUAACCACAGCAAUUGACGUUACCCGCAGAAGAAGCACCGGCUAACUCCGUGCCAGCAGCCGCGGUAAUACGGAGGGUGCAAGCGUUAAUCGGAAUUACUGGGCGUAAAGCGCACGCAGGCGGUCUGUCAAGUCGGAUGUGAAAUCCCCGGGCUCAACCUGGGAACUGCAUCCGAAACUGGCAGGCUUGAGUCUUGUAGAGGGGGGUAGAAUUCCAGGUGUAGCGGUGAAAUGCGUAGAGAUCUGGAGGAAUACCGGUGGCGAAGGCGGCCCCCUGGACAAAGACUGACGCUCAGGUGCGAAAGCGUGGGGAGCAAACA
rnacentral:rRNA from 1 species